CAGCCCUUGCCGGAAGUAGAAGCUAGUUUUGUAAGAGAAGCUGUUUUAAGAGAAGUUGUUGUAAGAGAAGCUGCAAGAAGGAUGGAGGAAGAAGAAGCUGCUGGGGAAGAGAGCUGUAAGAGAAAAAGCCUGAAGUAAAGAAGUUGCUGUGUGAACCCGCCUUGGUGUCCAUGUUGUUCCUGUCUCUGUGGGUGGCGAGGACAGUGACAGAAGGCUGUUGAUUACACGGGUGCAAAAAGGAUACAGGCUAAACUGAGUCAGCAUCAGCCCAAUGCUGCUAUCAGCUAGGGAUUGACAGUGGAAAAUGGGACUGGAAAAUUCUAAAUAGGCAUUUGUCCAGAGUCAAGAACUGCAUCAGGUCUUUGGCCACCAACCCAUGAGGGUAGACAGAAGCCAUGAGCAGGAUUCAGAUGGCCAUGAGUAUGAUGGAGGAACUUCCAGGAGUGAGCUUCAGUGAGAACACUACUUCAUUGUUCCAGAUGUGAGGACAUGAAGAGUCUCAGCUGCUCAUGCCUUCCACCAGCACAGAGCCUUCCCACCAUGCCUUCCACUACCAUGGAGCCUUGCCACCAUGUCUUCCACCAGCACAGAGCCUUGCCACCAUGGCUUCCACCACCAGGGAGCCUUCCCACCAUGCCUUCCACCACCAGGGAGUCUUCCCACCAUGCCUUCCACCAGCACAGAGUCUUCCCACCACCACUGUGAAUUGUUUCUCCUCAAAUUGUGGGCCAACAUAAGCCACUUACUUCCUAAGGGCUUUGUGUCAAAGAGAAAAGCAAACCAAAUGCACUUAUUAUUUAAGAUUCCAAUGAAUUGCCUCAGAAUUACUGUUGGACAGAGACUGUAAUUCCCUGUCCAUGUUAAAAGAAAACAAUGCAGUUUUAAGAAGCAUGUUCAAAAUUUGUCCAGGUUAAAAAAAAAUCAUAGUCAAUUGUAUCCAGUUGCUUGCUCAGAAUCCUAGCUGGAUCAGAGACUCAGCCUUCUAAACAACAAACUAACACUAAGUGGCAUAGAUCAGUGACGUAGCCUUGAAAAAGAAAGCUUUAUCAUUUAGUUUGCUUGAACCUAAAUAAAAGUGUUUGGGGCAAAGAUUAUAUGUUAUCUAAAGAGAAAGCAAAUCAUUACUUUCAUUAAUUUUUUCUCCUGAGCUAACAUUUUAGAAAUGCUAAUGAUAUUUGAGUUCAAGUGGUAUUAAUUGAAGGAAUACUUAGUUGGGAGAGUAAUCAUGGAGUUUACACAGUUGUUUAUUUUUAUCAAACAUUAAUGAACCUGUAGCUGUAGGUCACAUGAAGCUGACUUCUGACAUGAAGAUUAGUCAGGUGCUCUUGCCAUCCUCAAGGCUUCUAAUCUAGCAGAGAUACCCCAGAAGCCCUCUUUAAAGUAGGAGAAUUGUUUCCAUAUCUGGUGAUCAGGUCAGGAGAAAGAUGCAGAGUGUAGCUGGCAUGGACUGUUCCUUCUGUUAGCUUUCCACUGUUCUUUUCUUCGUAAACUCCAGCCACCCAAGGAAUAAGACCUCAGAGAACUCAUGGGCUGGUGCCACCAGGACAUCCAGGUUUACCUGCAGUGCUUUUUGGAGUCCUUGGUAGUGAAAAUACUUGCUAACUUCCUGCAGUUAUUGAUUCAUUUUAUAAGUAGGACUGGCCCACUCUGAUAUGAUGACCCCUUGCUUGGUCUUUUCUAGAUGUAUUUCUCGAUCCCAAGCGUCACAGGGAUUGGGAUAAUACAUAAUGAACAAAAUUCUACAAUCGAUCCAUUAUUAGAAUGUAAUUCACUGGAAUGAGGCAAGAAUGUUCCUACCCAACUAGCCAAAGGGAUAACAAAGUAGAAAGUGUUUGAGUCUGGACAUGGGAUAGCUAGGCCACAAGGUAGGAGUGAGCCAAAGACCCAUAGGAUGUAGUAUCAGUGGAUAGGAUCAGACCCCAAAUGGCAAGGCCAAGGAGAGAACAACAAUUCCAGUCAGAUAUUGCAAAUACUAGGACUGGAAACAAAGGCUGUGGCAGGAAGAAGUCCACAGUCUGUUCCACUCUGGAACACCCACUGUACCCAGCACAGGCUCCCUGUGAACAAGAGUACUCUUCUUGGUCCACUAAGUGGCAUCCCUAGGGUAAGCCUUUCAUUCUUUUCAUGAUGCUCCUAACAAAAGAUCAAAUAAAAAGCCAAGUCACAGGGUCCUGGAACAAGACUUUCAACAAUGUAAUUGCAGCAGUUGAAGCUUUAGUGUGUGUGUUUAUGUUUACAAGGUGUUUGUGUGUGUGUGUGUGGGGGGGUGUCAGGGGAUAACUUGUAGGAAGUGGUUCUUGUUUAACAUUUGGGGGCAAACACAGAUCCUCAGGCUUGGUAGCAAGUGCUUUUAUCUGAGCCAUCUUGCCAGAUCUGCUUAUUUUUAAGAUGACUUUAAUUCUGCUUCUUUCACUUUCUCUACAUGUGUUCUUCAACCUAGGAUGAAGGUGAGGCAUGGAAUCUUCAGAAAUGUCAUGUCACAUGGAAAGCUAAUUAAUUUAAUGUGGUGGUGGUCACAGAAAGUAAUACAACUGAGCAACAGAGAGGAAGGAAAGGAAAUAUCAUGUUGGAGUUAAGAGUAUGGGCUUUAGACACACCAUUUAGAACUCCAGGGUUCCUGUCUCAAAGUUGUGUGUGUGUGUGUGUGUGUGUUGUGUUGCAUGGGUGUAUGUUCUAGGUAUAUGUCAUGGGCUUACAUGGAAGGUGGUCCUCCAGAGAUGGCCAUCUCUAUUACACACAACAACAUAUCUUUACAGGUUUCCUUUUAUAGGACUUGAGAAAGUUGCUAGCUGCGACAGUGAAUCCAACUGUGACCCUGGCAGCUCUUCUCCAUACAUUGUACUCUAGGAAGCAUCUAACACAGGAUGGGGAGUAGAUAGGAAUGUGCAGUUUGGGUAAGUGGGCUGUGGCAGCCUAUAGUGGUAACGGCCCAGUCCCUCUGCUCUCUCAUUGUAGACAUUUGCUUUCUGCUCUUAUUUCUCAGACUACAAUGAUGGAAUCAGAAGCAGAGAUAGAAAUGCACAUGCAUCCAGGGUUGGUGGGCAUGGGAGUGCAUUUUCCUUCGGCUUAGGGGGCCUGGAGGAAAGUUUUAUGGAGCCCAGAGGAGGAAAGGCUCAACUUUCGUCGUUGAGAAGUGAGUGUGGAAACAGUCUCUCCAAAAUGCCUUUUCCUUUUCUUCCCCUCUAAAAUAACCAAAUUUGACAUUCUCACCAAAGGCAGCUUAGUUACUGCUGCUUCUAGAGACCUUGUCCUCCUCUAGGAACAGGUGCCUGUGGACCAGAGACUUUUCUGAGAAGCCCCCACAGGAUUGCUGUCACGUUUGCAGCAUGGUCUGAGUUCUGCAGUUUUGUAAGGCCAAAGCAUGAAAGACAAACGAGGGGCUGCUGAGGCGUCCACACAAAAUGGCAGUUAUGAUGAAGACGCUGGUAGACGUGGUGUCUGUUCUGUGCUUUGGGAGGACAGUCAGUGAGCUGCAUGCCUGGACCUUCAGGUGGGUUUCUUUAACUGAGGACUUGCCUGUGGUCAGAUUUGACUCAGUACAAUUCUGCUAUUCCUUGCUGUGUUGUCUGACUUAAAAAAUCCCCUCAACUCAGUUCCAUAGCCAAGGCUGGGAGGAAGAAUCAGAGAGGCUUCACCGCUGGCUGCCACUCUGUGCAGCCUUUCCAGUGGAGGUUACCCCUGGUUUAAACUGUAAAACCUAAAUCACUUUAAACAAAUGACAAAUUUUAAAAUCCAUUUCUGAGCAAGAACUAUCUGCUUUUAUGAUUUGGAUAACUACUGAAUUGUAAUGGAUUUUCUUUCAGAUUUAUAUUCUGUUCUUUACUUACUAAGCAACCAAGCAAGUUCUUAAAAAAACAGAUUGGAUUGGGUAAUCAAAAGGUUUUAUUCAAUAUGCAACCCACCUUCUCCUGUGAUAAUAGGAACAACUAAUCUCUACUUUUAGUAGUGUUAGUGCAAUACACUUAUGUACUUAUGUGCUUAUCUAUACAUGUAGCUCUAUAUGCUUAAGUAAUACAUGUACCUGUGUAUUUAAGAAACUACCACAUAUAGACUGCCCAAUGCUACUGAUGUA